rnacentral:rRNA from 1 species
ACUUAAAUUGAAGAGUUUGAUCAUGGCUCAGAUUGAACGCUGGCGGCAGGCCUAACACAUGCAAGUCGAGCGGUAGCACAGAGAGCUUGCUCUCGGGUGACGAGCGGCGGACGGGUGAGUAAUGUCUGGGAAACUGCCUGAUGGAGGGGGAUAACUACUGGAAACGGUAGCUAAUACCGCAUAACGUCGCAAGACCAAAGUGGGGGACCUUCGGGCCUCAUGCCAUCAGAUGUGCCCAGAUGGGAUUAGCUAGUAGGUGGGGUAACGGCUCACCUAGGCGACGAUCCCUAGCUGGUCUGAGAGGAUGACCAGCCACACUGGAACUGAGACACGGUCCAGACUCCUACGGGAGGCAGCAGUGGGGAAUAUUGCACAAUGGGCGCA